GAUGAACGCUGGCGACGUGGAUAAGGCAUGCAAGUCAAACGGCCCUUCGGGGCAGUGGCGAACGAGGCAGUAACACGUGGGUAUCUACCUUUAAGUCUGGAAUAACUCAUCGAAAGGUGAGCUAAUACUAGAUAGUCCCUUCGGGGUAAAGAUUUAUCGCUUAAAGAAGAGCCUGCGGAGUAUCAGCUUGUUGGUAAGGUAAAAGCUUACCAAGGCUAUGACGCUUAGGGGAGGUGAGAGCCUGACCCCCGCCGAUGGGACUGAGACACGGCCCAUACACCUACGGGUGGCCGCAGUCGAGAAUCUUCCGCAAUGGACGAAAGUCUGACGGAGCGACGUCGCGUGAUGGAUGAAGUCUUUAGGGAUGUAAACAUCUUUUAUGAGGGAGGAAUUUUAUUGACGUUACCUCAUGAAUAAGGGGUUGCUAAACUCG
rnacentral:rRNA from 1 species